rnacentral:rRNA from 1 species
GAUGAACGCUGGCGGCGUGCCUAAUACAUGCAAGUCGAGCGAACAGACGAGGAGCUUGCUCCUCUGACGUUAGCGGCGGACGGGUGAGUAACACGUGGAUAACCUACCUAUAAGACUGGGAUAACUUCGGGAAACCGGAGCUAAUACCGGAUAAUAUAUUGAACCGCAUGGUUCAAUAGUGAAAGACGGUUUUGCUGUCACUUAUAGAUGGAUCCGCGCCGCAUUAGCUAGUUGGUAAGGUAACGGCUUACCAAGGCGACGAUGCGUAGCCGACCUGAGAGGGUGAUCGGCAACACUGGAAAUGAGACACGGUCCAGACUCCUACGGGAGGCAGCAGUAGGGAAUCUUCCGCAAUGGGCGAAAGCCUGACGGAGCAACGCCGCGUGAGUGAUGAAGGUCUUCGGAUCGUAAAACUCUGUUAUUAGGGAAGAACAAAUGUGUAAGUAACUAUGCACGUCUUGACGGUACCUAAUCAGAAAGCCACGGCUAACUACGUG